GGGCGGCGGCGGCGGCGGGCGGGGGUGCGGCGGCGGGGCCCGCGUGCGGCUGGUGAUGCGCGCCCGCAGGUGGGGCGAGCGCGCGGCCCGCGCCGUGGGUCCUGCCCGACGCGCGCCGCUCCCGGGCAGCCCAGACGCUCUGAGAUACAAAGACGCACGUGGUGGAGGUCACCUGGUGUGACAGACCUGAUAUCACCGCCUCCCGAGAGGGCACCCGACAGCCAAAAGCUCCCCCAUCGUAGAGACAGGAAAGUGGGCUUUCAAAAAGAAUAACUGAGGAUGGCACCGGCACCGAUCUAGCAAUUUAGCCAAGAUUACAUAACCAGCAAAAGCAGAGCCUGACAAGAUCCCAAAUCCAGCCAACUGCUGAGUGCUUACUAUGUGCCAGCCAUUAUUCUAAGCCCUUUAUAGGAACGAUUGCAGUCACAGAAGAAAGAAACUGAGGCAC
rnacentral:lncRNA from 1 species